GGCGCUAUAGUGUAGUGGUUAUCACUUGGGAUUCUGAUUUGAGGUGUUCCCAAAACCCAGGUUCGAGCCCUGGUAGCGCCU
rnacentral:tRNA from 1 species